rnacentral:rRNA from 1 species
AGAGUUUGAUCAUGGCUCAGAAUGAACGCUGGCGGCGUGCUUAACACAUGCAAGUCGCACGAGAAUUCUUCUGCUUGCAGAAGAUAGUAAAGUGGCGCACGGGUGAGUAAUGCGUGGGCAAUCUUCCCUUGAAUCGGGGAUAACAUCGCGAAAGCUUUGCUAAUACCGGAUGACAUCCAUUUGUCUGCGGGCGAAUGGAUCAAAGGUGGCCUCUACAUGUAAGCUACUGUUUGAGGAUGAGCCUGCGUACCAUUAGCUAGUUGGUGGGGUAACGGCCCACCAAGGCGACGAUGGUUAGCUGGUCUGAGAGGAUGAUCAGCCACACUGGAACUGACACACGGUCCAGACUCCUACGGGAGGCAGCAGUGAGGAAUUUUGCGCAAUGGGGGAAACCCUGACGCAGCAACGCCGCGUGAGUGAUGAAGGCCUUCGGGUCGUAAAGCUCUGUCAAGUGGGAAGAACCUGCAGAAAGCUAACAUCUUUUUGCACUGACGGUACCACUGAAGGAAGCACCGGCCAACUCCGUGCCAGCAGCCGCGGUAAUACGGAGGGUGCAAGCGUUAUUCGGAAUUAUUGGGCGUAAAGGGCGCGUAGGCGGCCGUUUAAGUCAGGUGUGAAAGCCCGGGGCUUAACCCCGGAAGUGCAUUUGAUACUGAGCGGCUUGAGUAUGGGAGAGGGAAGUGGAAUUCCUGGUGUAGAGGUGAAAUUCGUAGAUAUUAGGAGGAACACCGGUGGCGAAGGCGACUUCCUGGACCAAUACUGACGCUGAGGCGCGAAGGCGUGGGGAUCAAACAGGAUUAGAUACCCUGGUAGUCCACGCAGUAAACGGUGAUCACUAGGUGUAGCGGGUAUUGACCCCUGCUGUGCCGCAGCUAACGCAUUAAGUGAUCCGCCUGGGGAGUACGAUCGCAAGGUUAAAACUCAAAUGAAUUGACGG